GGGCUGCAGUGGGGAAUAUUGCACAAUGGGCGCAAGCCUGAUGCAGCGACGCCGCGUGGGGGAUGAAGGCCUUCGGGUUGUAAACUCCUUUCAGCAGGGAAGAAGCGAAAGUGACGGUACCUGCAGAAGAAGCGCCGGCUAACUACGUGCCAGCAGCCGCGGUAAUACGUAGGGCGCAAGCGUUGUCCGGAAUUAUUGGGCGUAAAGAGCUCGUAGGUGGUUUGUCGCGUCUGCUGUGAAAACCCGAGGCUCAACCUCGGGCCUGCAGUGGGUACGGGCAGACUAGAGUGCGGUAGGGGAGACCGGAAUUCCUGGUGUAGCGGUGGAAUGCGCAGAUAUCAGGAGGAACACCGAUGGCGAAGGCAGGUCUCUGGGCCGCAACUGACACUGAGGAGCGAAAGCAUGGGGAGCGAACAGGAUUAGAUACCCGUGUAGUC
rnacentral:rRNA from 1 species